AAUCAACGCUGGCGGCGUGCCUCAGACAUGCAAGUCGAACGCGAAAUUUCCCUUCGGGGAGAAAGUAGAGUGGCGCACGGGUGAGUAACACGUAGGUAAUUUGCCUUUGGGUGGGGAAUAACUCAGGGAAACUUGAGCUAAUACCGCAUAAUGCAGCGGCUCGACAUCGAGACAGUUGUUAAAGCGGGGAUCGCAAGACCUCGCGCCUGAAGAGAAGCCUGCGGCAGAUUAGCUAGUUGGUAAGGUAAUGGCUUACCAAGGCGACGAUCUGUAACCGGCCUGAGAGGGCGGUCGGUCACACUGACACUGACAUACGGGUCAGACUCCUACGGGAGGCAGCAGUCGAGAAUUUUCUCAAUGGGCGCAAGCCUGAAGGAGCGACGCCGCGUGGGGGAUGAAGGGUUUCGANCCGUAAACCCCUNUCAUUUGUGAACAAUGGUUGCGAUUG
rnacentral:rRNA from 1 species